CCUACGGGUGGCAGCAGUGAGGAAUAUUGGUCAAUGGACGAGAGUCUGAACCAGCCAAGUAGCGUGAAGGAUGACUGCCCUAUGGGUUGUAAACUGCUUUUAUACGGGAAUAAAAUGUGACACGCGUGGGAUUUUGUAUGUACCAUAUGAAUAAGGAUCGGCUAACUCCGUGCCAGCAGCCGCGGUAAUACGGAGGAUCCGAGCGUUAUCCGGAUUUAUUGGGUUUAAAGGGUGCGUAGACGGGUUGUUAAGUCAGUUGUGAAAGUCUGCGGCUCAACCGUAAAAUUGCCAUUGAUACUGGCAGUCUUUAGUACAGUUGCGGUAGGCGGAAUUCGUGGUGUAGCGGUGAAAUUCUUAGAUAUC
rnacentral:rRNA from 1 species